ACUCCUACGGGAGGCAGCAGUGGGGAAUAUUGCACAAUGGGGGAAACCCUGAUGCAGCCAUGCCGCGUGUGUGAAGAAGGCCUUCGGGUUGUAAAGCACUUUCAGUAGGGAGGAAAGGGUGAGUCUUAAUACGGCUCAUCUGUGACGUUACCUACAGAAGAAGGACCGGCUAACUCCGUGCCAGCAGCCGCGGUAAUACGGAGGGUCCGAGCGUUAAUCGGAAUUACUGGGCGUAAAGCGUGCGCAGGCGGUUUGUUAAGCGAGAUGUGAAAGCCCUGGGCUCAACCUAGGAAUAGCAUUUCGAACUGGCGAACUAGAGUCUUGUAGAGGGGGGUAGAAUUCCAGGUGUAGCGGUGAAAUGCGUAGAGAUCUGGAGGAAUACCGGUGGCGAAGGCGGCCCCCUGGACAAAGACUGACGCUCAUGCACGAAAGCGUGGGGAGCAAACAGGAUUAGAUACCCUGGUAGUCCACGCCGUAAACGAUGUCUACUCGGAGUUUGGUGUCUUGAACACUGGGCUCUCAAGCUAACGCAUUAUGUAGACCGCCUGGGGAGUACGGCCGCAAGGUUAAAACUCAAAUGAAUUGACGGGGGCCCGCACAAGCGGUGGAGCAUGUGGUUUAAUUCG
rnacentral:rRNA from 1 species